UCUCCGUUGGUGAACCAGCGGAGGGAUCAUUAUCGAGUUUAUAACUCCCAAACCCUACGUGAACUUACCACUUGUUGCUUCGGCGCGCGCUUCGGUGCCGCCGAGGACACUUAAACUCUUUGUUUUUAUAAGCAUUUCUGAGUGGCCGAAAGGCAAAAUACAAAUGAAUCAAAACUUUCAACAACGGAUCUCUUGGUUCUG
rnacentral:misc_RNA from 1 species